rnacentral:rRNA from 1 species
UACGUAGGGGGCAAGCGUUGUCCGGAAUCAUUGGGCGUAAAGAGCGUGUAGGCGGUUCGGUAAGUCGGCUGUGAAAGUCCAGGGCUCAACCCUGGAAUGCCGGUGGAUACUGCCGGGCUAGAGUCCGGAAGAGGCGAGUGGAAUUCCUGGUGUAGCGGUGAAAUGCGCAGAUAUCAGGAGGAACACCGAUGGCGAAGGCAGCUCGCUGGGACGGUACUGACGCUGAGACGCGAAAGCGUGGGGAGCAAACAGG